GAGUUGGCGUAACCUAUAUCAGAUGGGGAAGAAAAGGUUGUUCUGGUGGUGCUGAACUUGUUUAUACAGGUAAUUUAUUUUCAAACUGAAAAUUCUUGUGGGUAAUACUAUUGAUUUUGGACAGUAAAUACCUGUAAUCAUUGCUUUCAAUCAUCUUACUGUCUUCUACAAAGACGUUUACAAUUAUUUCUUAAAUGUUCAGAGAGGGUUGUUUUUCCUUUUGUCUAAAGUAUUAUUAUUAAUCAACAAUAACACUCGAAUGAUUUGAACAUAUACUGUUUCUGUUUUAACAAAGGUAAGAACAGUGUAACAUAUUGUCUUAUAUUAACAAAUAAUACGCUAGGAGGGAUAUGUUUUAGUUGACCACUGUUAGACCGCCUGUUCUUUCGUGUCUUGAAAUUUACGUCUUAAAAGCUAUAAAUCCAAGCGUCUUAAGAUUUCGAAAAGAAAUUCCUGCUAAAAUGCUUUAUCUUUUGAUAUAUUUUAUCAUUAUUAUCAACUGAUCAUUUAUGGAUUACAAAAACAUUGUCUUAAAUAAUUCCCAUUGGUACCAUUUUUAUCAGGAAGAGCAAAAAGUGAAAUCACAAAAAUACAAUUCCUAGUCAAAUUGCAAAACAAGUUGCUUUCUUUAAAAAAAAAUAAAAGCAAUACAUGAACCUAAGACCGCUGACUGCCGGGUCACCAAAAGAUUGUUGCUGAAUUUUGUUUGCUUUUGAAUUGAAAUAAUUGACUGUGAAUAGAAGAAGCCAGUUAAAAGUAUAUUUUUACAGCUUCUAUUUGAAUAUUUAUUUUAAAGCUCGACUAUUUUAUUUAUCACUUGGGAAUGUACAUAAUUUUUCCGAUUAUAACCCUUUGGUAAAUCCUAAUUUCUACUAACCGUAUGACUUAUGCAAAUUGCACAUACCUAUCGCAGAAGUUUAUAAAUAUAUGUACACACUUUAAAAAUCAUAUGAAAUAAACAUUAAAGGAAAAACAUUUAGAAGAAAUAGGAGACUUUUGCUUAAACGAGCGAAAACAACAAAACAGUUGAAAUGGUUAAAAUGUCGCUUUUUUAUUCGCUUGAUAGUUUUUUUUUUAACGACCCUUGAUAUAAAUUUUUAGGUCUUUCCACCUUUCCGUGUGAAAAGACCUAUUGAAUUUCUUCUGAUUAUUUUUUUUUUUUUUUCUUCCGCCUAAUUUUUUUCUUGGGGUGUAAAUAUGUUUCAAAAGAUGUCGCUUAGUUUUUUUGUAUAUGAUAUUAUACAGUUAUACUCUUUUGAAACUCACCCUGUUUAACCGAACACUUUUCUUUGUAAGAGUUAUCUCCCCAAACACUGUUUUUCUUGUUAUCAGAUCUCCUCCGCAACCGUAAAAGAAGCCGACCAAUUUAUUUUUCCAAAUUGUUGUUAUAUCCUCAGAAUGUUAAGUUUUAUUUUGACCGAAGCUAUACGAAGACCCCAUAUGAGAGUAAUUUUCGCUUUUGUAUUGAAAUAAGUGAAAAAAAAUUGUAACUGGAAAACCAUAAGUGAUAGAGGCCUAGGGUCUUUUGAUUUCAGGUCCUUGGUUCAAAAAUGAAAAUUAGGUCAAGUCAAAUCAAUGUCAAAAUUUUUGAUUUUGGCUUGUUAUUUCUCAUUUUUAGAAAUCUUAUGAGAUAUUGACAAAAUAUUUUCACACAACUGUUAGUCGUGACAUGUCGCUACACAUAAAUUUUAUUCGAAAAGAUACGUAAACAUUUGAUGCGACUUUUCCCCCUUUUAUAUCUAAUAUAAGUUGUAUGGUAAUAAACUCUAACAAUGAAAGUGAGAUAGAGUCUUUUGGUUUGAGGUUUUGUUUAUGACCUUGAAUUGAGCUCAAGGUCAUCUGUUAAUUUUAACGUUCUAGAUUUGACCUUUGCAUUUACCUCAUAGGUAUUCAUAUUAAAUCUAUUAGACUUUUUGUAUUAGGUUGGAAGCAAUAUGACGUUGAACCGGAAGUAGCUAAUUUGUGUAAUAAAUUAUUGUAAAAGUAUGUAAAACCAUAUAUUUUUGGAAUCAGCGUCAAGUUUACUAUAAGGAAGUACACCACUAAUUCAUGGUCCCAUUACUUUCUAUGUUAAAUUCCUCCAUUUCAAACCAGGCACACCUCUUUCAUUUUAAGUUCAAAAAAGUGGCAAAUUGCACGUCAAAGCAACACUUGUAUGGCGUCUUUACUGAAAAAAUCAACAUACCUUACAUGGCAUAUAAAAAGAACUGGUUCAGAAUUCGAUGUACAAAACAUACUUAUCUGACAAACAGACCAAAUGUACCUCUUUUCAAUUUUGCUGCAGUUUUUUAAAUAUUUAAAUUAAAAGUCCAAGUGUUCUACAAUGAUCACCAGUCCUUCAGCUUUCAUUUGAUGUCAAAACUACCUAAAUAUCUACAUAUUUUGAAAUUACACUCAUGCGUAGGAACUUAUGCGUUAAAUAUGUAUACUUCUGGUAUGUGCUUUCUGGCCGGGCCCGAAUUAGUGGUGUUACACCAUAAGACAGUACCGGAAGUAACAUAUUUUGAACCAAAAGUAGAAAAUUAUCUCCCUUAUUUAUAUCUUUUUGUAUUGAAACCUUAUAUUUUUGGAAUCAGCGUACAAUAAGUUGUCAUUUGACGCUGAAAUUAAUAUUUUAAAACCAAAUUUUAAUAUUUUCAUAUCAAAAUAGAUCCUUACUGGUGGAAAGACCUUCAAUUGUUCUCUGAACAAUUGGUUUUUAAUUUCCCAUUUUUAUUUGCACUAUUAUUCUUUAUUAUAUUGAUAUACAUGUAUAAUACAUUAAUUGGACGGCACAGAUUAUGUGGGUACAUUCACUAAUGGUCUUAACGUGUCGUUACGUUAAUCAACGGUUUUCGUGUGAUAAAGUCAAAUGAGAUAUGAACUUUUAUUAUUAUAGAAAAAGAUACAUCUUUAACGACUUGCCAGAUUCUUUUGAAUAUUAAAAUUUAUACAUUUUACAAUAAUCAUGCAAAUUAUUUCUAUACAAAUAGACUGAUUUGUUUUAUAACUUAAUGAGACAGAGAAAGAACACAACGCAAUGAUAACAAAAAGAAACAACUAAGUUAAAUAUAUAAUAUGCAUGUGUUUAUAUUAAUGAAUUGAUUGUAUGAUCAAGUUAAAUGUUAGCCUUUACCACCAUGAAAAGCUUGAAUGCAUUAUUCUAGGGCAAGUCGGCGGAAGUGAUUAUUAUACUAGAGGAGGUGGUGUGAAUUAUUUAUGUCUCCCAAAUGAUCCAGAGAAUGGACAACACCAAUCAUAUAACAAUAUCCAGGUAUAUGGUAGUGAAUAUCGACUUAGUUCAUCAGCCAAGCCGUCGGGAUGGUAUGAAUCUAUGAACAACAUGGAAGUGCCAUGUUCUGUUUGUUUCAAAAAACGCAAAUCAACGGUUUUGAUGAUUCCAGGUACUUAUUCCAUUUAAUGCCGUACCAUGACCUUAAAUGGUUUACUGUUAUAAAUUGUUACUUGGAUGGAGAGUUGUCUCAUUGGCACUCAUAACAAUGAGAAGACGAGGUAUGUUACCAUACUACAACUUUCCACCACAAACCAAAGAAGUUUAUUUAUAAAACAUCAUGAAGAAAGUUUUCGAAACCUGGUCUUACAGUCAUAAACAUUCCGAGCACGAUUAUUGUGAUCAGACUUAUCCAGUAAAAAAACUAGGGUUUUGAGUACAAAUUUUGUUGUCCGUGUAUAAAUCAAAGUCUAUUGACCGAGAACUCUGUUAAGCAAGCGGUCAAAGUAAACGUUAAUUGCAUUAUUAUUUGUUCGCAGAAGAAGAUAAUGCAUAAGGGUAUUCUAUUAUAAGACUUAUUUAUUUUAAAGCUCAAUGAUCCACCUUAUAAUUGCUAUAUUUUCGUUAUAAACAACUGUAGAAUUUAUGUUUGUAAAAGCGUUGAUCGUGGCCAUAAUUUUAACAUGAAGCGCUUCUGUGCUUCAUACAACAUGUGCAUUGUGCAACCAUUUUACACCCAAUAAAAUUAUAAAAUGCAGCGUUAAAUUCAUAAACAAAAGAAUGAAAAGUCAUUGAGGAAAGACAAUAAGUCUCCCAUGCAAUUGUACUGAAAGACAUUUCAUGAUAACUUAUACACAUGUCCCAAUUUAUUUUUACGCUUUUCAAUGAAUUUUGUACGGUAGAAAUGUGAAAUACAGAUUCAAAACAUUACAAAUGUAUUUUCGAAUAGAUGGAUUAUAAUCAGCAUCCUACUUUUAAAAUAUUUAAGGUCGGAAGACUUGCUACAAAGGAUGGAACUCAGAAUAUAAUGGUUAUCUGAUGAGUGAUCAUUCAACUCAUUAUAGAAGGGACUACGCCUGUGUUGACAAAAAAGCAAGUCCAUUGGACUAUAAGAAAGUAAAUGAACAUGGCGCUUAUUUUUAUCCACUCCGAACCCAAUGUGGUAGUUUGAGAUGUCCUCCAUAUACCAAUGCAGCGGAUGUGUUAUGCGUCGUUUGUUCAAAAUAAAAACAUUAUGAGUUACAUUGAUAACACGACCAUUUAUUUGUGUUUAUCUAUAAAUUGAUUAAACGA
rnacentral:lncRNA from 1 species